rnacentral:rRNA from 1 species
AACGAACGCUGGCGGCAUGCCUAACACAUGCAAGUCGAACGAGAUCCUUCGGGGUCUAGUGGCGCACGGGUGCGUAACGCGUGGGAAUCUGCCCUUAGGUUCGGAAUAACAGUUAGAAAUGACUGCUAAUACCGGAUGAUGACGUUAAGUCCAAAGAUUUAUCGCCUGAGGAUGAGCCCGCGUAGGAUUAGCUAGUUGGUGUGGUAAAGGCGCACCAAGGCGACGAUCCUUAGCUGGUCUGAGAGGAUGAUCAGCCACACUGGGACUGAGACACGGCCCAGACUCCUACGGGAGGCAGCAGUGGGGAAUAUUGGACAAGGGGCGCAAGCCUGAGCCAGCAAUGCCGCGUGAGUGAUGAAGGCCUUAGGGUUGGAAAGCUCUUUUACCCGGGAUGAUAAUGACAGGACCGGGAGAAUAAGCCCCGGCUAACUCCGUG